rnacentral:rRNA from 1 species
UACGUAGGGCGCAAGCGUUGUCCGGAAUUAUUGGGCGUAAAGAGCUCGUAGGCGGUUUGUCGCGUCUGCUGUGAAAACUCAGGGCUUAACCCUGAGCUUGCAGUGGGUACGGGCAGACUAGAGUGCGGUAGGGGAGACUGGAAUUCCUGGUGUAGCGGUGAAAUGCGCAGAUAUCAGGAGGAACACCGGUGGCGAAGGCGGGUCUCUGGGCCGUAACUGACGCUGAGGAGCGAAAGCAUGGGGAGCGAACAGG